rnacentral:rRNA from 1 species
GGGCCAGACUCCUACGGGAGGCAGCAGUGAGGAAUAUUGGUCAAUGGGCGCGAGCCUGAACCAGCCAAGUCGCGUGAGGGAGGACGGCCCUACGGGUUUUAAACCUCUUUUGCCGGGGAGCAACGGGCGUCACGUGUGGCGCCACUGAGAGUACCCGGAGAAAAAGCAUCGGCUAACUCCGUGCCAGCAGCCGCGGUAAUACGGAAGGUCCGGGCGUUAUCCGGAUUUAUUGGGUUUAAAGGGAGCGUAGGCCGGUCUUUAAGCGUGCCGUGAAAUUUUGUGGCUCAACCAUGAGAGUGCGGCGCGAACUGGAGACCUUGAGUGCGCGGAAGGCAGGCGGAAUUCGUGGUGUAGCGGUGAAAUGCAUAGAUAUCACGCAGAACUCCGAUUGCGAAGGCAGCAUACCGGCGCUCAACUGACGCUCAUGCACGAAAGCGUGGGUAUCGAACAGGAUUAGAUACCCGAGUA